rnacentral:lncRNA from 1 species
CCAGCUACACUAACUGUUAGGGCGGUUUGCUGUGUCGUCCGGCCCCAGAGUUUUAACCCAGGCGGAACUAAUGAUCCCCGUCACCAGAGGGGUGGCUUGUCCCAAGCGUCUUGAGAGUGCUCAUGAAACAGCAUCUAGACAGGUUUGGGUGUUGUCAAGGAGGUGUCUACCUAACGACCUGUCUCAACCUCUUGCCAAACUCGUUCUACCCUCGUUUCAUACCCCGUUAAUUACAGGAGUGAGAAGAAUGGCAAAUGGUCCGCUCAUUGAAGCUUAUUGGAGCAUGAAUUGUAAUUGCCCGUCACAUAAUAUGCUGUAAAGGAACGACUUCAGUGUAGAAACGCAUGGGUCAUUCAACUAUUGUCAAAUACUAAACAACGAUGGCGCUGUUUUAUUCACAAGAUCACCUAUGUGUUUGUAUCAACUUACAGUUUUAACAAAGUUGUUCCCGUUACUUAUUUCUCCUCAAUGAAUUAUUCAACAACACCAUGAUUAUCUACGCUAUAAUUACACUGAAGUCUGUGGAUGCUAUGCAGUUUGAGAGUAAGAAGUUCAAGAUGUCUCAGUAGGUUCACGGUUCAUCAGCUGACAUCAAACGCUAGAUGUAGCAGGUCUCCGGGUACCAAAUACAACACAUGGCCAUAUUUGCUGCUUGGUAGAUGGAUGGAUGCAAUGAAGGACCUGCACCUGACACGGCAUUUUGCACGGACCUAAAAAAACAGAACACCUGGCGAAAUCUUCGACUUCACAAUCAGCAUUGCACUGCCGACCCUGUCCACGUUGACCACAACCACGAUGGUUUCGAGUGCUAAGGAAGACGGCCCCUGCCCUGUACGUGAUCAGCUGACAUAAACAAAGUGUCCAGUUUAUGCACUUAGGCAGAUUGGAAGUAAAAUGCAUGCAUGAAAUACCUGUAGUUGGAAGAAUGUAUAACUUAUAGAAAUGGCUGCUCACUUUGCGAUAAAAAACCCGAAGGAUCAAACACACAAAACACAAAACGCAUACAAACACAACACCCGUACACAAAUUCAGGAUGAUAAAUAUUUGUGUUUGAAUAUCAUGAAAAAACUCAGUGCAAACAGUUACCUUGUGGUGAAUAGUUUAGUUAAUAAUUAUACAUGUAAACAGUUGAAUACAGUUAUCAAAUAUUUACAUAGAAUGUGCAAACGUAACGGAAGAAUAUUGCUAAGCCCUCAGAUUAGUAUAGGCGCGAAAUACCCACAAUGACAACCGAUCAAAACAAGGCAAUGUGUACAUAUCUGAAUAUCCACAUUUAA